UACGUAGGGGGGCGAGCGUUGUCCGGAAUCAUUGGGCGUAAAGCGCGUGUAGGCGGUUCAGUAAGUCUGCUGUGAAAGUCCAGGGCUCAACCCUGGGAUGCCGGUGGAUACUGCUGAACUAGAGUGCGGAAGAGGCGAGUGGAAUUCCCGGUGUAGCGGUGAAAUGCGCAGAUAGUCGGGAGGAACACCAAUUGCGAAGGCAGCGUCGCUGG
rnacentral:rRNA from 1 species